rnacentral:rRNA from 1 species
ACGAACGCUGGCGGCGUGCUUAACACCUGCAAGUCGAACGGAAAGGCCCUGCUUUUGUGGGGCGCUCGAGUGGCGAACGGGUGAGUAACACGUGAGUAACCUGCCCUUGACUUUGGGAUAACUUCAGGAAACUGGGGCUAAUACCGGAUAGGAGCUCCUGCUGCAUGGUGGGGGUUGGAAAGUUUCGGCGGUUGGGGAUGGACUCGCGGCUUAUCAGCUUGUUGGUGGGGUAGUGGCUUACCAAGGCUUUGACGGGUAGCCGGCCUGAGAGGGUGACCGGCCACAUUGGGACUGAGAUACGGCCCAGACUCCUACGGGAGGCAGCAGUGGGGAAUAUUGCACAAUGGGCGGAAGCCUGAUGCAGCAACGCCGCGUGCGGGAUGACGGCCUUCGGGUUGUAAACCGCUUUCGCCUGUGACGAAGCGUGAGUGACGGUAAUGGGUAAAGAAGCACCGGCUAACUACGUG